UACGAAGGGGGCUAGCGUUGCUCGGAAUCACUGGGCGUAAAGGGUGCGUAGGCGGGCUUUUAAGUCUGGGGUGAAAUCCUGGAGCUCAACUCCAGAACUGCCUUUGAUACUGAAAAUCUUGAGUCCGGGAGAGGUGAGUGGAACUGCGAGUGUAGAGGUGAAAUUCGUAGAUAUUCGCAAGAACACCAGUGGCGAAGGCGGCUCACUGGCCCGGUACUGACGCUGAGGCACGAAAGCGUGGGGAGCAAACAGG
rnacentral:rRNA from 1 species